rnacentral:misc_RNA from 1 species
CUCGAUAAAAGUUUUACUCCAAAAACAAUCAAGUCAAAAAUAAUUACAAACACUAAUUUUCUCAAAUAAUUACUAUUACAAUUCAAGGCUGCAAAUUUUGGUGGAACCAAUCAACAAAAUUUAUUCUCUUCACCAUCAUCAUGACAAGAAAAGGUCAGAACAAAUCACUGUAAUGCUGUCAGCAAGGUAAGUGUGAGACAAUGCCAAAGGCUAUUAACAGUAUUGCACUUUUAUAAGAUCAAGAAUAAAAAUUCUCCUUACAAUUACAAAUGCUUGAACAAAUACAAUGGAAAUGCAUAAAAGAAGAAAUUGGCUUUUAGGGACUUGAAGGUAUUUUUUGGACGACAAAACAAAGUUCGUAGAUAAGAGGCAUAAGCUGCAUCUGCAGAUUGAUUCUGAAUUGUAUUGUCACAUAGUUUCACAAGCUGAUGGUGAUGAAACUACAAAUGUCGACAAUCCAGUGUCAGUUGGAUGUCCCAGUUCUAGAUGAGGGUGAUAAGAAACUGGACUAGUGAAAAAGGAUCACCAAUGGUAUUAAUUUCUGUGAAUUGUUAGGACAAACUGUUAAGAAUACACUUGAAAUAUGAUUGAGCUUUGACCUAUCUACACUUAAAAAUAUAAUUCCACAGUAGCAUAACAAAAUUAUGCACCAUGAGAAAACCAAUGGAGCACAACCGAAAAUGCUGUUGCAUAACAGUGCAUUGAUUGUUUCGUUUGCGCAUCAGCCUCCGAAAAAUGCUCACAGCAACUAUAAUUUGGCAGUAACAUCUGCUAACAGCAAUUUCAAAGUCUCAUAGGUCAUAAAACAAAUGCCAACACCAGGUACGACUUUGUAGUAUUCAGGCAUAAUGCCUCUAUAUAGACCCCAAAAGCCUUCGGUCUGGAUUAUAUGCUUGAAUGUACCAAAAAGACCUGUUGUGUAAACACGGGCCCGGCCACCUGCCCCUUCCAAUUGCUUCCGUCGUCUCACAAGAUCAAGAGGAAAUGUUGCUGCGGAGUUAAACAGAAUGCAUUAUUCUUGAGCAAUGUAACUCUUUUUAACUGGACCAGAUUUGUGAAGAUAAUGAAAAUUAUGCAGGUCUCAAAUGUUCAUUAAACAUUGGCAAAGUCACAGGAAUAAUAAUCUCAAAAGCCAAUGAAUUACUUAAAAAAAGAAAAUCCACAUUGGGUAUUAUGAAGUUCUAUUCCAUUACCACUUAUCGGAUACUGCCAUAACAGAGGCUACCUUGCACUUGCAUGCAAAAGAAAAUUUACCAAUGCAGCUAUCAUAGACAAUUAUAACUGAUGUUAAUAUCAAACUAAAGGAACAUACCAAGUUCUAGCUCACCAAGAGAAAUUGGACUUAUAGCUGCUUCCAGUACAGUUCUGCUUAUCGUUAGGGUCAAAUACUUUUUGACAUGAGCAAUAAACAUAAGAGGAAAGUACAAAAAAGUAUCCCAAGGUUUCGCACUACAUUUAGGGACUUGUGAUUCAAUUUUUGACAAAAUAAUAUCCUAAGCUUUACUUUGCUAAUACUUAGAAGACAAAUGCUCUAAUACCAUUAAUUUUAAUGACAUGGCAGUGCAAGUUAAAUAAAACAAUAUAUAUUUUUUUAAAAUGUUUUAGGUCCCGCAAAUAAUAUGAAAUUAAAAAACAUUUGAGUUAGUAAUUUUUUACUGAAAAAAAAUAUUUUAUUUUACUUACUAUACACUGCCAUGUUAGCAAAAUUAACGACAUCUGAUGGAGUAAAGCUCACGGUAUCAUUUUGUCAAAAAUUGAACCACAGGUCCCUAAGUGUCAAAGCCCAAAAACCUCAAGGUACUUUUUUUGUAUUUUUCCCUAAACAUAAUCAAUUAAUUACAAAGUUUAUACAAAAAACUAUGGGUCAUAAUUAAUCUUUGUGCAUGCAUUUGCAUCAGCUCACUUUGAAUUAACCUUUUUUUUUAGUACAAACCAGUGGACAGCACCUUUGACAACUGCAUCACAAGGCUUGAAGGAUUCCAUAUCCUAAUUUAAUGCAAUUGGCAAAGGAAACCUAAUUGAGAAGCAUA